CCUACGGGAGGCAGCAGUGGGGAAUAUUGCGCAAUGGGCGAAAGCCUGAACCAGCCAAGCCGCGUGAGGGAAGCAGGUACAGCGUAUCGUACACCUCUUUUGUCAGGGAACAAAGGCGGGGACUAGUCCCCGGAUGAGGGUACCUGAAGAAAAAGCAUCGGCUAACUCCGUGCCAGCAGCCGCGGUGAUACGGAGGCUGCGAGCGUUAUCCGGAUUUAUUGGGUUUAAAGGGUGCGCAGGCGGCCUGUUCAGUCAGCGGUAAAAGCCCGGGGCUCAACCCCGGCGAGCCGUGGAAACUGGCGGGUUGGAGUUGGAGAGAAGGACGCGGAAUGCGCGGUGUAGCGGUGAAAUGCUUAGAUAUCGCGCAGAACCCCGAUUGCGAAGGCAGCGUACCGGCUCCACACUGACGCUGAGGCACGAAAGCGUGGGUAUCGAACAGGAUUAGAUACCCUGGUAGUC
rnacentral:rRNA from 1 species